CCCCAGAUACAAUGGACAAUAUGC
rnacentral:miRNA from 1 species